UAUUCGUCGGCGUGCACUUCUCCCCUAGUAGGACGUCGCGACCCGUUGGGUGCCGGUCUUAAAAGACCCGGGUGGAAGACUGUCGCUCCGUUCUAGCGGACGUGCGACAGACCCCCGGUGUCACAGAGACACCCGGCUGCCCGGCGGUACGCAUCGAUGGUAUCGGGCCGCAAAAUUUCGAACUGCGUCGGGCCCAUGUUGUCCGCGGUUGUCAGUUGUCUCACGGUGGCUUUUACGGACCUAGCGCCGGCCCCGUGCCUGACCCGCGAUCGACGGAUGGUGUCCUCCGACGGGCCACGCAAAUGCGCCCUUGCGGGCGCAGAACACGAUACCGGUCGGCGACGCUAUUGCUUUGGGUAAUCUCAGGACCCGUCUUGAAACACGGACCAAGGAGUCUAACAUGUGCGCGAGUCAUUGGGAUUCUGCAAACCUAAAGGCGAAAUGAAAGUGAAGAUCUGUCAGACGCCGUGCGCGCGCGCGCUCGUUACGCCCUCUUCGGUAGCGUGUCGUCGUCGUCGUCGACGGUGCUCGCGACACGAUCGAGGGAGGAUGGGUCGCGUUACGAUGCGACUCCGCACUCCCGGGGCGUCUCGCUCUCAUUCGAGAGGAGGCGCACCCAGAGCGUACACGUUGGGACCCGAAAGAUGGUGAACUAUGCCUGGUCAGGACG
rnacentral:rRNA from 1 species